UUAAACCCUACAUUUCUGUGAUCUUCAUGAAUCCAACAGUAUAUACCUAAUCAUGUGUAUAAUCAUCAUCUAUUCAAUCAAUAAUCACUCAUAUAAUCAUCUAUUGAUGCUUCAAAUUAAUGAAAAAUCUGUUGAAUAAUUCUCUGUCAAAUUUCUAGAGUGCUAAACCCUACAUUUCUGUGAUCUUCAUGUUUCUAACAUAUAGACCUAAUCAUGUAUAUAUAAUCAUCAAUUCAAUCAAUAAAACAUUCGCACAAUCAUCCACUGACGCAUUCAACUAA
rnacentral:lncRNA from 1 species